AGUGAACGCUGGCGGUAGGCCUAACGCAUGCAAGUCGAACGGCAGCACAGUAAGAGCUUGCUCUUACGGGUGGCGAGUGGCGGACGGGUGAGGAAUACAUCGGAAUCUACUUUUUCGUGGGGGAUAACGUAGGGAAACUUACGCUAAUACCGCAUACGACCUACGGGUGAAAGCAGGGGAUCUUCGGACCUUGCGCGAUUGAAUGAGCCGAUGUCGGAUUAGCUAGUUGGCGGGGUAAAGGCCCACCAAGGCGACGAUCCGUAGCUGGUCUGAGAGGAUGAUCAGCCACACUGGAACUGAGACACGGUCCAGACUCCUACGGGAGGCAGCAGUGGGGAAUAUUGGACAAUGGGCGCAAGCCUGAUCCAGCCAUACCGCGUGGGUGAAGAAGGCCUUCGGGUUGUAAAGCCCUUUUGUUGGGAAAGAAAAGCAGCAGAUUAAUACCCCGCUGUUCUGACGGUACCCAAAGAAUAAGCACCGGCUAACUUCGUG
rnacentral:rRNA from 1 species